AGUGAACGCUGGCGGUAGGCCUAACACAUGCAAGUCGAACGGCAGCACAGUAAGAGCUUGCUCUUACGGGUGGCGAGUGGCGGACGGGUGAGGAAUACAUCGGAAUCUACUUUUUCGUGGGGGAUAACGUAGGGAAACUUACUCUAAUACCGCAUACUACCUACGGGUGAAAGCAGGGGAUCUUCUGACCUUGCGCGAUUGAAUGAGCCGAUGUCGGAUUAGCUAGUUGGCGGGGUAAAGGCCCACCAAGGCGACGAUCCGUAGCUGGUCUGAGAGGAUGAUCAGCCACACUGGAACUGAGACACGGUCCAGACUCCUACGGGAGGCAGCAGUGGGGAAUAUUGGACAAUGGGCGCAAGCCUGAUCCAGCCAUACCGCGUGGGUGAAGAAGGCCUUCGGGUUGUAAAGCCCUUUUGUUGGGAAAGAAAAGCAGCAGGUUAAUACCCCGCUGUUCUGACGGUACCCAAAGAAUAAGCACCGGCUAACUUCGU
rnacentral:rRNA from 1 species